rnacentral:rRNA from 1 species
AUUGAACGCUGGCGGCAGGCUUAACACAUGCAAGUCGAGCGGGGUGAUGGUGCUUGCACUAUCACUUAGCGGCGGACGGGUGAGUAAUGCUUAGGAAUCUGCCUAUUAGUGGGGGACAACAUCUCGAAAGGGAUGCUAAUACCGCAUACGUCCUACGGGAGAAAGCAGGGGAUCACUUGUGACCUUGCGCUAAUAGAUGAGCCUAAGUCGGAUUAGCUAGUUGGUGGGGGAAAGGCCUACCAAGGCGACGAUCGGUAGCGGGUCUGAGAGGAUGAUCCGCCACACUGGGACUGGAACACGGCCCAGACUCCUUCGGGAGGCAGCAGUGGGGAAUAUUGGACAAUGGGGGGAAACCUGAUCCAGCCAUGACGCGUGUGUGAAGAAAGCCUUAUGGUUGUAAAGCACUUUGAGCGAGGAGGAGGCUGUUUUGGUUAAUAACCAAGAUGAGUGGACGUUACUCGCAGAAUAAGCACCGGCUAACUCUGUGCCAGCCGCCGCGGUAA